rnacentral:rRNA from 1 species
UGGGGAAUAUUGCACAAUGGGGGAAACCCUGAUGCAGCGACGCCGCGUGAACGAAGAAGGUAUUCGUAUCGUAAAGUUCUGUCCUAUGGGAAGAUAAUGACAGUACCAUAGAAGAAAGCUCCGGCUAAAUACGUGCCAGCAGCCGCGGUAAUACGUAUGGAGCGAGCGUUGUCCGGAAUUAUUGGGCGUAAAGGGUACGCAGGCGGUUUAAUAAGUCGAAUGUUAAAGAUCGGGGCUCAACCCCGUAAAGCAUUGGAAACUGAUAAACUUGAGUAGUGGAGAGGAAAGUGGAAUUCCUAGUGUAGUGGUGAAAUACGUAGAUAUUAGGAGGAAUACCAGUAGCGAAGGCGACUUUCUGGACACAAACUGACGCUGAGGUACGAAAGCGUGGGGAGCAAUCAGG